rfam:Triticum aestivum genome assembly, contig: Triticum_aestivum_CS42_TGACv1_scaffold_526647_6DL
AUGGAUGAAGAUAUGCACUGGGCUCUGAGCAGCGAACAUCACUGUGGUCUGAAUUUGCCUAGAAAGCAUUGUCUGACAG